UACGUAGGCAGCAAGCGUUGUUCGGAGUUACUGGGCGUAAAGGGUGCGUAGGCGGUCCUAUAAGUAUGGUGUGAAAUCUCCCGGCUUAACUGGGAGGUGCGCUAUAGACUGUGGGACUAGAGUGUGGGAGAGGAAAGUGGAACUCCUGGUGUAGCGGUGAAAUGCGUAGAUAUCAGGAGGAACACCGGUGGUGUAAACGGCUUCUGGACCAUAACUGACGCUGAGGCACGAAAGCGUGGGUAGCAAACAGG
rnacentral:rRNA from 1 species